UNCGCNGCCUACCAUGCAGUCGAGCGGAUGAAGGGAGCUUGCUCCCUGAUUCAGCGGCGGACGGGUGAGUAAUGCCUAGGAAUCUGCCUGGUAGUGGGGGACAACGUUUCGAAAGGAACGCUAAUACCGCAUACGUCCUACGGGAGAAAGCAGGGGACCUUCGGGCCUUGCGCUAUCAGAUGAGCCUAGGUCGGAUUAGCUAGUUGGUGAGGUAAUGGCUCACCAAGGCGACGAUCCGUAACUGGUCUGAGAGGAUGAUCAGUCACACUGGAACUGAGACACGGUCCAGACUCCUACGGGAGGCAGCAGA
rnacentral:rRNA from 1 species